rnacentral:rRNA from 1 species
AAAAGUUAUUUAGAGUUAAUAAAUUUAAUUAAAGAAUUAUAAUAGUAAGGAUGAAAUGAUAAUGAUCAUUAUAAGACUGGUAUAUGUGAAGGUAUUAAUUAAAUAUUAACUGACAUUGAGGGAGCAAAGCUAAAGUAGCAAUAGGCAUUGCAUA